GAACCACUGGCUCAGUGGUUAGUACGCUCCAGCUCACACUGGAAGACACGGGUUCGAAUCCCGUGGGGGUCU